rnacentral:lncRNA from 1 species
GAACAUGGAAGCAGAUGUCUUACAAGGGAACCUGGAGCUUCGAGGAUUGUGUACCAGAGUCUGGGAAAAACUGAAAGCUACUGUUUGGCAAAAGGCAGAGGCCUCUCUUUAGUCUGCGUGUGUUGCCACAGCCAAAUUUCACAGAGUUGGCGGCUUCAACUACAGAAACUCAGUUCUCACACUUCAGGAGCCCAUGGAGCCCGCGAUUAAUGUACGGUUGAUUCGAAUCCUGGUCUGUACAUCGGCUAGUAAGCUGGAGCAGUACAGUCAAGUUCAGGUCCAUCCCACAGUUCUCUCCUUCUAGAGCUGGUUGCUGCCUGAAGUUAAUUCUCUUUUCCAAAACUGUCCUGGAUACAGAAAACAGUCAGAUAUGGUUUGCCCCUCAGGAAGACUCAGCACAACGAAGAAAGACAAAGAAACACGGUAUCAAUUAAAGAAGCAGCCAAAGAAUGCCGCCAGGUGGCAGUGUCUGAGACCACUGGGAUUCCCUUCCUGCAGCAAGAGCGAUAAUGGAAAAACACCACUAUGUUAAAGCUCAGCUAGAACGUGACAACCGGCUUCCGAAGCGCAAACAUAAUAAACGUUCUCUCAUAAA